rnacentral:lncRNA from 1 species
AUGAUUUGUAUAGUGAUACUUUGCGCUGCGUCAGUUCUUACCGGUACUGAUGCAAAGGUAAGGCGGGCCGCUGUGAGUCGAAAAGCUGCUCCCAAAAGCGCAGAUCAGUUGCUGAGCGAGCUUCAGGUCUUAGAGAAGAUUCGCCAAGACUCUUUGAAAAAAGCUUUCGGAAAUCCAAAAUACAAAGCAGAUCCCCGCAUGAUGGAAAAUCUUUCCGUCCUUUCUCUAGUCGACUCUCUCUUUCUUGAGUACCACAAUUACUACAACGCAAUGAACAAGUUGACUCGCUCCGAUGAGGAAUCGACGGCUGCUCACCAGGCUUUGGCGACCAUCAAGAGCUCCAGGGAACGUUUAAUAAAACUUUAUAAAGCCGUGACAGAGAAGGGAGGGAAACUCCAGAAACCCAAUGUUAGCACGGACAACCAAAUGAACUUGUUGGAGACUAUAUUUGGCAAGACUCUCAAGAAGAACGACGAAAUUGAGGCAGAACUUCGCGUUGAAUUUGAAAAGUCUCCGUUCAUAAACCAUAUGAAAGAUAUGCCGGAUCUACCCAACGAGUCUCCGUUUUAAUUUAAUCCACCUACACUGAUAAAGAUAUUUGUGUUCUUGUGUUACAAUGGUUAAGAUAGUAAGUGAAACAAAAACCAACAAAAAUUUUGUGAGUAAUAAAAACGUGAGCCACAGACGCAGAAUUUUUAUACAAUUUUAUUAUUCAGGUGCUAAUGCAUCUCAAAAAUAAAAACAAAAAUAUGCAUGUUUGGCUCACGUUUUUAUCACUUAUAAUUAUAUGUAGAUGCAACAUGUGGCUCAACAACUUUUAGUGUUGAUUUCGGUACAAUUUGCGGUGAAUUUAGCGCAAAAAACAAUAGAGAGACUGGGAGAUUGCAUUCCUCCGAUUGCAACGGUAUUCACCACUCAUUUUUUGUUAAAUUUCCUCACGAAAACUAGCUGGCAUUUUCUCUUGGAAUUGUCAACGUAAGGCUAGGAUAUAUUGUGUUUUAUCAAAACCUGUAUUGACCAAACUUUUGUGUUGAAAUUUCUGUCUGUGUAAGAAACCACUAAAUUUUGCGAAAAAGUUUGGUGCGUUGCCACCCAUAAUUCUUAUAAAUUGUCUCUUUCCCUCCACUUCUUAUGUGUGUAAACCCAUUUGUAUUUACAUGUAUAUAGUGCUGAUUGUCGUUUAUUGUGAAAAAUAUACCUUAUGCUAUAAAAAUUAAAAUUUACCAAUCACACUGAAAGUAUGAUCGAUCAAUACUACUUAAAAAUCGUAGCGAUUUUUCACUGAUGAUGUGAUCUAGGUCACAUCCAUAUAGUACCGAGGAAGCAUGUCAUUUCACGAUGAUACCACUAUUCGACUAUAUGAGAGCUCGUUUUGCCUACACUAAAUAUUGAAGGCAAACUGACAUGACGUUAAGGUAACCUCUUCUCUGGGUAAAAAGCUAAUAUUUAAGUAUGUUCGAAAUGAGUCCGACACACAGAAAAAAAGAAGUAGGGGUUAAGUCCCAACUUAGAAAUUUCCAAUUAUUUAUGGUAGUGCCAAAAAUAAUUGUGACAGUACCCCACUAAAUUAGGUCACUAACCCAAAUGUUGCGGUACCAUCUUACCAUAAGGAAGCUCUCAUUG